rnacentral:lncRNA from 1 species
GCGAACAGAUGGUCUGCCGUAGCUUGGUCCUUGAAGGCGGGUCUAUGGGACUCUCUCAAAUCUGGGUAAAGUACAUUAUGUACCCUUUUAAAAUUUUGUGUGAUGUUCAUGUUUAAAAAAUAUCUACAUAUUAGAACAUCUAUGUACUAUUGUUAAAGAAACACUAUUUCCAGAGCUUCCCACCUUGAUGAAAAAGGUUAAACCAUUAAACAAAUUCGAGUUUCCCACAUUAUCUUGGCUAGGACAAAAGUUUUCUUGGAUCAAUUAUUCGGUGUGCGAUUCAUCUCUGUAUGUUACUAAGAUGGACAGGAGAACGAUUCAGAUAUUUGCGAAUCAUAGGCUUUAUUUCGUGCAGAUUGGUUUCAGCCAGCGGUUAGGCAUUGGGCAUUUUGUUUCGCUCACCCUAUCAACUGUGAUUUAGGAUUAUGAUGAUUAUUGAUGUAGCCAACAUAAAAUCCUGCCUGCACAUUUUGAAGCACGACUCCUGUGAUGAUUUAUACUGCACUCUGUUUGUGUUUUAUCUUGAAAUUUAAGCUUACUGUACCCAGAGUAUAAGAUGUUACAGUGUUGGUACCUUCACUUAUGUCUCAAUUAGUGGUAGUUUAAUGUCUACUGCACUAAACACCCAGCUAGUCUUUUUUCUACCAGUAUGUUGCAGCCACCAGCAUUCUUGUAGUUGUUGCUCAGUUAAGUUCGGUUCACAUGAUUGCAUUCUACGCUUUGACAUAUUGUUCCUCAUGGUUGUUACUGUUAUCCAUGGCCUCAUGCUUCAGGAUUGACUCCUAACUGCUUGAGCUCUUUAGUCCUUCCAAAACAAGGUCUUGAUGUCCCCCUUACGGAAAAAUAUUCAUAUAUGUUCCUGCAUGAUGCGUGUAUGUACGUUGGAUGGUCACGUUCUAGUUUACUAGCUAGCUAGUAAGCAUUGUUUGGUUAGUGCUCUACUGCUUGGUUGGCUAAACAUAUUCGUUUGUUUGAUUUGGCUUCACAGUUACAUAUUUUGAUUUGAACUUAGUCUAUGUUUAUGCCUAGUUUCUGUUAAUUAUCUUGAAUGGUGUGGUACCGUGUCUAUGCGCGCACAACUUCCUCUCACAAAAAAAACUAAGUGCAUGUCUCUCUCACUUUUGUUCGCAUUUCUUUUAACAUCAUCUUGAGGAUGAAUACAAAUCUUUUUAUUUCUAAUAUUUUUUAUAUUUAUUUCGUUUUGAUUGAUUCAUGUGCAAUGUAAUGUUCUUGUAGGAUGACAAGUUGUCGCAUCUCGAGCAUGUCUCAUAGGAGAGUGGAAUGAAGUCCAUUGUAUUGUUGGGAUAGUAGCAGAUGUGCCAUUGUUCUAUUGUGCAAUUUUGUCCGUUCUUGCUAUAUUCUUGUGUAAGGAAAUGUAUUCACGAGAUGAGUUAUUGUGUUAUGUAAACCUGGGAGACGUAUUAUGUGAUGUUAUAUGAUGGAUGGUUUUAAUUCGACUUGGAGUUUUCUUGAUUUGAAUAUUAAAUAGUGUUGGAUUUAAUAUUGGACAAAUAAUUGGGUUGAAAAGGCCCAACAAAUAGAAAUGAAACCAAGUUCUGAAACAAAAAGUUGCUGAAUUCAAAAAUAAAAAAGGGCAAAACUAAAACUGGACCCAAUGUAUUUGGGAACUAAAAGGGCCAGGGCCCAAAUUAUAGUGAUACAAAAAAA